rnacentral:tRNA from 13 species
AGAGAGAGGCAGAGAGAGGAGAAGAGAAAAGAUAGGAAUAAUAAACCUAAGGUUUGUAACACCUCUGCAGUUAAACUUCUUCUCUCUUCCCUCCCUCUCCCCAU